GAUGAAGAACGCAGCGAAAUGCGAUAAGUAGUGUGAAUUGCAGAAUUCAGUGAAUCAUCGAAUCUUUGAACGCACAUUGCGCCCCUUGGUACUCCAUGGGGCAUGCCUGUUCGAGCGUCAUUUCAACCCUCAAGCUCUGCUUGGUGUUGGGGCCCUACGGUUGACGUAGGCCCUUAAAGGUAGUGGCGGACCCUCUCGGAGCCUCCUUUGCGUAGUAACUAACGUCUCGCAUUGGGAUUCGGAGGGACUCUUGCCGUAAAACCCCCAAAUUUUCUAAUGGUUGACCUCGGAUCAGGUAGGAAUACCCGCUGAACUUAAGCAUAUCAAUAAGCGGAGGA
rnacentral:misc_RNA from 1 species